rnacentral:rRNA from 1 species
CCUACGGGAGGCAGCAGUGGGGAAUAUUGCACAAUGGGGGAAACCCUGAUGCAGCGACGCCGCGUGAGCGAUGAAGUAUCUCGGUAUGUAAAGCUCUAUCAGCAGGGAAGAAAAUGACGGUACCUGACUAAGAAGCCCCGGCUAACUACGUUCCAGCAGCCGCGGUAAUACGUAGGGGGCAAGCGUUAUCCGGAUUUACUGGGUGUAAAGGGGGCGUAGACGGCUUGGCAAGCCAGAAGUGAAAGGCAGGGGCGCAACCCCGGGACUGCAUUUGGAACUGUGAGGCUAGAGGGUCGGAGAGGCAGGCGGAAUUCCUGGGGUAGCGGUGAAAUGCGUAGAUAUUAGGAGGAACACCAGUGGCGAAGGCGGCCUGCUGGACGGUAACUGACGUUGAGGCUCGAAAGCGUGGGGAGCAAACAGGAUUAGAUACCCGUGUAGUC